GAUACGACCGUACCGCAAACCGACACUGGUGCGCGAGAUGAGUAUUCUAAGGCGCUUGAGAGAACUCAGGAGAAGGAACUCGGCAAAUUGACACCGUAACUUCGGAAGAAGGUGUGCCCUAUUAGUGUGUAGUGAACAACGAAGCAUGAAUGGGUUGCAAAAAAUCGGUGGCUGCGACUGUUUAUUAAAAACACAGCACUCUGCAAACACGAAAGUGGACGUAUAGGGUGUGACGCCUGCCCGGUGCUGGAAGAUUAAAUGAUGGGGUGCAAGCUCUUGAUUGAAGUCCCAGUAAACGGCGGCCGUAACAAUAACGGUCCUAAGGUAGCGAAAUUCCUUGUCGGGUAAGUUCCGACCUGCACGAAUGGCGUAACGAUGGCCUCACUGUCUCCUCCUGAGACUCAGCGAAGUUGAAAUGUUUGUGAUGAUGCAAUCUCCCCGCGGAAAGACGGAAAGACCCCAUGAACCUUUACUGUAGCUUUGUAUUGGACUUUGAACAGAUCUGUGUAGGAUAGGUGGGAGGCUUUGAAGCAGGGUCGCUAGAUCUUGUGGAGCCAACGUUGAAAUACCACCCUGGUGUGUUUGAGGUUCUAACCUAGGUCCAUUAUCUGGAUCGGGGACAGUGCAUGGUAGGCAGUUUGACUGGGGCGGUCUCCUCCCAAAGCGUAACGGAGGAGUUCGAAGGUACGCUAGUUACGGUCGGACAUCGUGACGAUAGUGCAAUGGCAUAAGCGUGCUUAACUGCGAGACUGACAAGUCGAGCAGAUGCGAAAGCAGGACAUAGUGAUCCGGUGGUUCUGUAUGGAAGGGCCAUCGCUCAACGGAUAAAAGGUACUCUGGGGAUAACAGGCUGAUACCGCCCAAGAGUUCAUAUCGACGGCGGUGUUUGGCACCUCGAUGUCGGCUCAUCUCAUCCUGGGGCUGUAGCCGGUCCCAAGGGUAUGGCUGUUCGCCAUUUAAAGAGGUACGUGAGCUGGGUUUAAAACGUCGUGAGACAGUUUGGUCCCUAUCUUCCGUGGGCGCUGCGGAUUUGAGGAAGCCUGCUCCUAGUACGAGAGGACCGGAGUGGACACACCUCUGGUGUAUCGGUUGUCACGCCAGUGGCAUUGCCGAGUAGCUAAGUGUGGAAGAGAUAACCGCUGAAAGCAUCUAAGCGGGAAACUCGUUUCAAGAUGAGAUCUGCCGGGGCCUUGAGCCCCCUAAAGAGUCGUUCAAGACCAGGACGUUGAUAGGUCAGGUGUGGAAGCGAAAAAAAAAC
rnacentral:rRNA from 1 species